CAGCCCCUAACUUGUUCGUAGGACAUAAUCAGUCUGUAUGGCGAAUUGAUGCGAAGCAUCAACGACUGUGCCACCGGGGAGUUGCGGCUAAAUUAGAAUCCCGUAGUAGAACCGCGAAUUGAGGCAUAUUGCCAAUACUGUAUCACACAGGAGCAGCUGCUGAUCACAUCAGACCACCCUGUUCUGCUCAGAUUUGCCUGUUCUGGACAUUUCACAAAAAUGGAAUCAUAGGAUAUGU